rnacentral:ncRNA from 1 species
CCACAGGUUUCCUUUAAGUGUGAACUUAUCGACAAAAUUGGGUUAAUUGCACGAAUAACCUUAACCGUACGUAUUAAGGUCAACGAGCAGCGAAGUUUAUUUAAUUAUUUAGAUUUAAACGUUCAACGACUAAACAUCAUGACUUAUAAUCAUGGUUAAUGCCCAACACUAGUAUAUACUAGUUGAAGACAUAGUCUAAUCAAUAUUAUAAGAUAUUG